GCACAGAGAGCUUGCUCUUGGGUGACGAGUGGCGGACGGGUGAGUAAUGUCUGGGAAACUGCCCGAUGGAGGGGGAUAACUACUGGAAACGGUAGCUAAUACCGCAUAACGUCUACGGACCAAAGUGGGGGACCUUCGGGCCUCACACCAUCGGAUGUGCCCAGAUGGGAU
rnacentral:rRNA from 1 species